GUAAAUUGGUCGUUCGCGCCAACCUUGGAUCCUUUCCAAAACUUCUAGACAACUUUGCAGUCGUCGGGUUCUGGGCCUGGAAUGGGUCUGUGGAUUCGCUGAAUUAUACCAGCAAGGUUGGGGGGGCUAGGCUAGGGGCAGAUUGGCUACAUCGACUGGCUAUUGUACUAGUCCAUUCCAUCAACGAAGUGACCAACCAAACAUGCCAAAAUCACUACAAUGAUCCAGAAAACGGGGGCCGAUCGACCGUCGGGUACGCCGUUCCCAGUGCACUCGUGUUUUAUUCCUCCAUGAGUGAACGACUGUAGAAUGCCAUCAUUCCUCCUGUUGCUCUACUAGGUCCGUCACUGCAUGCUCACAAGAAUGGCUGGCUGGAAUACAUCCUGAAGGUGGCAGACUCACUGCAGCAUGUUCUUGCUGUCGAUUCCCUCCUCCACUUCUCCUACCUGAGGUUUCCUCACUGUCACUGUGGCAUGAAUAUUCCUUCAUGUACGACCAACAAGUGGCCAUCCACUUUGCAACAUCUCAGUCAAGAAGAAUGGGCAUGUCAUACACAUACCAGUCUCUGUACAAUUGGCAGUAACAUUCACUGUCUGAAUCUCUCGCGUCGCAUCCUGGCAGCGUUAUGCACCGACGGAAUGUUCCAACCCCGAUACACCCACUGGUUCAGACUCCCAUCAGGGCCAUCAAGUACAUUACAGAGAUUGUUCUCAGAGAGCUCAUUCAGUCCAGAACUCUGAUCAACCAAAGCACAACUUAUCAGAGCAAGUCUGAGUACAAGCCUUAAUUGAUCCCUGCUGCAUGGUUCUACCCUCCACUCUUCCAGGUCGUCUGUUCCCUCAACCUACAUGUACUGCCAGAGGCAACUGGAAUAGUACAGUACCUCUCCUGCCCUGCCCUCUAGAGGAGAAAUAUCUGUCUCUGAAGCAUGCCACAAGCCUGGCCCAAACUCUUUCUCAAUGUUAGUGCAUGAUCUGCACUCCAGCUGGAGACGACAUCCUUGACUUGGGGGAGUGGAGGACUUGCAAGGCGUACCGGCUGGUCAAGAAUACCUGUGGGACCAUUAACGUAUACCACCCAUUCAGCACAACUGUGUGUUAUGUGUUUCUUGUCAAAGGGAGUUUGCUGGAGAAUUUAGCGGAGAGGAACACAAGUACUGGGAGAUUUUUGGCGGCCGUCUUAAUCUACUCCUUGAACUACCAAGGGGCUCGUCAAGACACUGUUUAUACAGACCUUGUUGGAUACUGCUGGAUUAAAGGAGAUGAGGUGUAACUAGCAGACUGCAUCAUUCACGUUAACUCAUUAGGAAAUGACAAGGCACGUUGCUCUGCCUAACACGGAAUCACUUACAUCGGGCCUGUGAGCUGAGUUGGUAAAGACAGUAUGUGUUUUUCUACCUAACACUGGAUUCCCAUUGGAUCACUCCUCUCUGAUCUGUGAGUUGGAGUAACUUGGAAGUGAGACACCAUUUUGCUAUGAUUCACAACUGUGUCUUUAGAGGAUGGCUUACCUCUGGCCUUUGAACAGAGUGAAAACACAAACUGGCUAAUGUUUUAUGGCAUUUUUAAUUUUGUGGGCUGCCUGAAAGUUGAAAUUACUGCAGCACAACAGUGUGGGAGAUUUGCGUAUAAGACUGUUAGCCAACAAGAAAGUUUUGAACUUGGUAUAGCUUUUUAAGUAGUUGUAAAAGUUGUAAAAAUUGUGGUUCAUGUUAACUUGAAUUUUCCCUUUUUAUAUUGCAUAACAUUGAAUUCUGCGAACUGCCUCAAGUUCCCCUUUACAUGAAAAUUAAUCAAGCACAACAUUUCAGGAGAUUUGUGCACAAGUCCUUCAAGGAGGUUUUGAACUUGGUAGCUUAUAAAGUGUAGCUGCCAUUAACUGUAAUGAAUGUUUCGUCGACACAGUUUUUCUGCAUCUUUGCACUUUUCUUCAAGGUAUGAAAAUCCUUACACACUACUAUUUGGUUAAGCAGUCAAAAUUAUCCAUAUUUUCCCCAGACAACUGAGGGUGAUAUUGCUGUGAAGUCAUCUAAGACAUGGUUCAGUGCAUAGGUAUUUCAAGUUCAAAUUG
rnacentral:misc_RNA from 1 species